AUCUAUGGCCAUGCCACCCUGAAUGUGCCCAUUCCGAGAUUGUCUGAUCUCGGAAGCUAAGCAGGGUCAGGCCUGGUUAGUACUUGGAUAGGAGACCACCUCAGAAUACCAGGUGCCGUAGAUG
rnacentral:rRNA from 1 species